UCUUAUCUGGAUACAAACGUCGAGGAACGAACAACAGAUAAGCAACCGUCUGUUUGUUAUUCGUCGAACGAAAAUUGGAUGUCUAAUUCUGCAUAGAAGUAAUUCUGCAUAAGUACAGUGCAGUUAGCGUAGACAAGUAUAGAAUAAGUUGUGUCAGGGUAAAAGGAUAGAAUUCUUGUGUAGAUACACGUCGAACGACUAAAGGAUCGUUCCUCGUAGAACAAAAAUUAGAAGUCACGUCACAUCGAACAACUAACAUCACACUUAUCGCUAUAUUGUUUUAUUCGUUAUCAGCUCCUCGAAUAAACUUUGGCUCGUUUUUGAUUAACAGUUCCUUAUACAACGACGUUCUACUCGGUGCCACUUGAGACGAGGAAAUGAAAUUGAAGCGUAAAGUUCUACCGAACACCAUUUAAUCACUCAGACGUAAUCGUAACGACAAUCAUACAAAUAUGUUUCUUUUUUUGUCUUUCAAGUAAUUAAAACGCGAUCGAGAAGUCUCGAAACCCGUUUUUCCAGUUUGCUUCUCGUUUCCAAGAUUUUUUUUUGCGGGUCUGCAAAUAAAAAUCAUCCCUGUCUCGUAGAUGCGCCGUUCUCUCCCACGAAAAUCGGCGUGUCACGUAUAUGCGAGCGUCGCGUGGUAACGAAUGCGUUAAUUUGGCCGCGCUCGGAAGAAUAUGGUUGCAAUGGUUAUACUCGCGUGAAAACCGCAAACAUUUGUAACUCACUGCGGAACAUUUUGUUUAUUCAUUUAUUUUUCCAUUUGUUUGCCCGGGGACCGGAGAACCCUCCAUCUCCAUGGAUACGAUACACGUCGGUCUGGAGAAGCAUACUGUACAUACAGAGAAAACGGAACGUGCAAUGAAAUGAUGUAGCAGUUAUCGGAGAUUACGUAAUAAUAUUCGGAUAUCCCGGAGAAUAUCGCGCAUUUCAAGACCCUAAUUUAUUAACUGACAACAGAGCGUAAUUUCAAGCGUGAUGAUUUACGGCCUCCUGCCAUCGUUCCGAAUGGAAUUGCGUUCCCUUCCCGCGCAAUUCCGUUUGCUCGGUUGCAAAAAGUAGACGGAAUCUUUGACUCGAACAACUCGCGAACGACCGCCGAGAUAACCGCCUGUCCAAUUAAUAACAGCUUAGACAAUGGCUACAUAAUCGGUGGACGAUCAACUUUAUCGAAUUCUUUCGUAAAAUCGGUACAGGCAUUAUCGACAUAAUACUUUAAUCUUCGGAGUCAGUCACGUAGUUGUAAACUAAUGCUUAGAUUGUUACACUAUCAGGUAGCUGGAUCGAUAGAAUCAGGGUUGGCUUCCAAGUUUGCGUUUGAAAAAUAAAGUAAAUACGCGGUAAUCCUCCGCAAAGUUCGCUCGAAUCGAUUCUAAUAUCGUUGAUUAAUCUUGUAUAACAUCCGAGGAAUCUACGUUAAACGCUUUCGAUCGCGUGAAUGCGCAUAAUUUGUUAGGGGACCCGAAUAAUGCUCCGUACUCCAACUUAGAAGCAAGGAACGUGUUACCGUCGCGAUGCUGCGGCUAAACAUAUUCAUUUGGACAUAUUCGCGACAGCAAUUAUUGCGUCUGCGUUCUCGCCGCUCCCCUCCCGCCUAGUUACAUGCUAACACGUAUACUAUACAUAUCGAGUGCGAUAACGAGCAACUCCAGUACACGUGUUCACGCUCCCGACGUCAAUUAGGUCCACCUACCGUCUCGCCGUCAUCUGCCGCACGACUUGUUCCUUCUUCGCGCCUUUUCCGCUCCGCUUCCGCGUUACCUAUGCGAAAGAGUAAGGAGUAACGAGUUAGGCAACGGUCGUAUCGAAUCCGCCGUCGUUGCGUUCAGAAAUGAGCACUAGGAAAUAAGAGACAAACAGGACAGAUUAAAUUCAGAGCCAACACGUUGACUGCUGAACUAACGGUGAAAAUUCCAACAAAGUUAAAAUUUUGUUUCUAUAGAAUUAGACACGACGAUCCAACUUCUAGUGGUAUUUAUUUCCGCGACCUCUUUAAAAUUUAUCAUUUUAUUUCCGCGGUGAAAAUCCUUGCUCACCCAUACGUGGCGGUGAACGUGUUAGAGUUAAAUUAAAAUCAGGUGAAUGGGGACCAGUUUCAAUCCGCAAGAAAUUUAAUUAAAACUGUUUGGAAUAUGUAGCUAACUUCAAGUGGCUACACGUUACCAUAGUUAACGAACAACUGACUAAUGGACUUAGGCCACUUUCAAAAUGGACGGCCCGUACGGCGUAUGCAAAGAACUCCAUUUAACCGUUAAUCUAUGCCGAUGUGUUGUCAACUGAAAAAAAAAAUAACGUUGAAAGUUAUGAAAAACAUUAUCCGGAGGAUGAAUUAUUCAUUUCCGUGACGGCAAGCAAAGCACUGUUACGUCUAUUAGAGUUAACGAAACUCCAGAAAGCUUUGCGGAAUUGUUCGAGAUAUCGAGUCCACACUGUUUGUACGCAUUCGCGCGAGCAUUGCAAGGAUAAGUUUCGAAUGAUGCGAACGUGUGCGAACGCAAACGGGAGUGUUACAUAAAAACAGCUUCGGUUACGCGGAGGAAGCGCUUGCGCGAAAUCCAAGAGCCAACGGAAACGAUGCGCGACGAGAAACGAAAUCGAUGUCGGAUCAUCGAUCGAAUGUAACGACGAAUUCCGAAAGACGAGCCAACACGAUACUGUCGUGGUAUUCUUAUGCCGCCACUCGAUAAUGUAAUGGAAAAUGUAACAAGUAAUGGAAUAUUUAAACGUUUGAAAAAACGUACAGAGAGCAUAACGAAUGUUAUCGUUUCAACGGAAUGUUUUACAGGAAUUUAUCCAACACCUGCUGGAACGAAACAAUAUCUUAACACAAAACGUGAAAUAUACGGAACGGUCUUACUUGGAUUCAAAUUUCCAAUAAAAUAUGACACCCGAGAAAUACUAAUAAUUUUGUACUUUUGUAAGGAACUAAAGUUUACCUAAAUAAAUCAAAUAAACGUUUGCCCAUAAAUCAUUCCAGGAAAACUCUAGUCAUUAUUGAAGCAUGACACGAUCGGUCCAUAUGGAAUCUGACGGGAGCAGGAAGGGGGAAACAUUUUAUUUGAAUAAUGGAUGACGUUCAUUCGAUGGAACGAAAUAUUUCAUUGUUCAGGGAGCACGGGAGAUUUGUAAACGUAAAUAUUUUUCGUAAAUUGUUCGAGUAGUCCUAGCUCUUCCCUACACCCUCGUCACAUGUCCCCGCCCUAUUCUGUUAGCAACGUUGUGUGAUGCGAGCGCGGCUUUGUAUCGUCGCGUACUUCCACGGACAGGCGUCGGUUAUUAUUGUUGCGUAAUGUUUACGUCACUUACACGUACGCAAUUGAAUAACCAUAAGCGUUGUGUGCCGCGUACUAUCUCGGUCAUUUUUCCUCCGUUUCGCCUCGUUCGAAUUCAUACCGACCAAUCCACUGUUUCCUUCCUGCCUCGCCACCUCUUUUCAUCCUCCCGAAUAAAUUCGUAUCCGUGUAAUACUAGUCGAAUCACUGAUGUGUAAAUAUCCACGAAAUAAUUCCUUCGUGCUUCCAAUGCUGGAGCAAACAGUUGGACGAGUGUUUUUAGUCGUCUUUAUUCGAGAGUAAUUAGUACGAAAGAAUUAUAGACGCUCAGACCAGAGAAAUCGUAUAAAAGAAUUACGACUGACGUCUCGAUCACGACGAGGACCCUCUUCAGCCUCAAGUUCGUCGAACACGCUACAAGGAAAGGUUGAAAAUAUAAUUAGAAAGAUGGUUUCUAAAUAUACACAAGUGGCUGACGUAUGUAGAUGGUCACCUUUCUGGGUUUUAGUUUCCCAGAAGGCAAUUUCAUAUGUUACACGUUCGAGUAAAGUUUUACUUUGGAUUGUUAAACGAAAUUUCGUUCGGUCUACAUUUUCCCUUUCUGGGUUUUAGUUUCCCGGAACGCAAUUUCAUAUGUUACACGUUCGAGUAAAGUUCGAGUUUGGAUUUGUUAAAUGAAGUUCCAUUUGAUCUACAUCCUUUAAAUAUGAUGGUUUAUUGCUGAGUAAAUAAAGAUUAAUCUGCGCAACUUCACUCGGAUAGUGUAUUUAUCUCUGUCUUCCAACUUUCAUUCGUGUAAGUAUCGGAAUUCGCUUCGUACGAUUCGUUCCGGGUCAUUCCACGCGAAAUCGAUCACUUUUUGCUGUCGAUGUCAGGGAUUUCGUUGAAAUUGAAAUACGAUGUAGUCGACGUGAAAUUAGGGGAGGGUUGAAGUAAUCGCUUAGUUGCACUCGAAUCUCUUCGAAAAAUAUCGAACGUCGAGUAUUGUGAUUUUUGAAAACACGCUGUUCAAAUGAAUUUUUAUUUCUGGAAUAAUCAACCGUAAUAAAAUCCUCGAUGAAAUUCUGCGAACUUCUGAUCGACCUCUGUUUUCAGAGAUCUGAAAAGUAUUUACGUAUUUCUAAAAGGCUCCUCUACGGGACAAGGUUAUUUCCAAGUAGGCGUUUUAUAAUUGACAUCGUAAUGAGUUGUUACAGCUGCUCAGGUAACCGAUUCGGACGGUGGCUACUACGGUCGGCUGACCGUAUCGUUCUCGCGCUGUAUUCUCUGAAUGAAGUGUACAAACGAAAUCGCCAGGUUUCAUUGCCACUCCAAUGAUGCAUUCAUACCUUUAUAGUAGUUCCACUGACCUACUCCUCGCCAAUGAUACUUUUUUCAUAUUAAGGUUCUCGAAUACCUUGCUUGUUUUUUGUUAACGAUGUAAAAGUCGCAUUACCUUCUGCACUCUGUUUGUCCGUAAAUUUAAGACCAUCAACUUGAUGACUCAAACCCUCCUUAAUUUUACCUACGCAACGACAUAUUUCAGUUUCCAUGAAAUCCCUCGCCUAGAUCGUACGAAGCAUUCGAUUCGAAGUGGAACGAUCGUCGUUCGAGUUUCCUUUUCACGCGAUUCGUUUCACGUUCACGAUUGUGAAUCCCUUUGGUCUCCUCGCUCGAGAAACCGGAAGGACAAUGAAAGUGUCCGUCGAAGGACGUUAACGGCCAACGAGAAUAGCGUGCUUGUCGCGAAAAAGUCUGUUUGCAAAUUAGAUCGUAAGCGUACCUAUCUCGACUCGUUCGAUAAAACCGGAUAGCGGCGUGUACGAUGCAGGUGUAUUAUCGCUCGGAAGGAAUCUUUUAUUUUUUUCUCGUCAAGUGCACGCCAGAGCAAAUCCAUUUACCAUAAAGGCUGGGCAUUUUGCAAUUCCUCUCGGCGCCGUCGAGACUCCGAGCGUGGCGAGACAAAACAGAAUCUGAUGGGAAAAUCGCAAAUUUAUUUUCGUGGUGCCCGUUGAAGUUUCUGGGACGAUUUAUAUCCUUCGAAUUCAACUAAUCGACCACCGAUUAUUCGCAAUAAUAUAUAGUACCGUUAACUAAAUAGAAAUCCAAAGUAAAA